AAAAACUAAGGAACCUCCUUAAACAGUACCUUGGGGCCACUGUCUGCUGGCAUGUUGACUUAGUCCCCUCUUGCCUUUAGAACUGUCUGUGGGUGUCCUUGUGUGGGGGGGGCGUGGGUGGUUUCUAUUAUUAUUAUUAUUUUUCUGUCUUGAUUUGGGUUUAGCUUUGAGUCCCUGCAAAUAAUAUUUUCUGUUUCUUCUUUUCACACAAUAAAUAAAUUAAGUCAACUUGCAGUAUACACAUUGUCAAUGUCCUGAGAAUCCUAAAGGUCCAUUCUUGGUACUGUCUUCAGAGAGCUGAGACAGAGGCCUUGGUGCAGGAGGAAGGAAGAAGUCUGCUUUCCAAUCAAGAGGACCCCUAGGAAGAGCCCCACAUAGAGGUAUCCCUCC
rnacentral:lncRNA from 1 species